rnacentral:lncRNA from 1 species
CUGAAGAUGGGAACGCUGAGACACUGCCUCCCGAUCUCCUAGGUGACAGGAGCUUGUGUCACUAAUUGGUCCCCGAGCCUGCGGCACCGGUGACGCGAUGGGGCUGAAAGGCAGCAAUUACAGCUGAAGGGAUUCGGUAAAGAAUUCGUAAUGCUGGUUCAUGCACUACUCCCAGAUAUUAAGAAACACAUUGUAAGAAGUCUGUCUCCUCGAAAUAAGGUGUGGACGCACAGCAGUGCCUGGCUCUGCCCAUGAGGAUCAGGAAGAUCCUGCCCAGAGGUGAACUCCACAGUGCUGUGCUGAAAUGAGAAGCUCUCCAGCUCAGGAUCCAACCUCUUUGGCCAAAUCCUCAAUCCUUUAUGUUCCGGUGGUACAAAGCUUGCACGAAGCUGACCUGGGGUCCUGAGGAGUGUUUCCAUCUCACUGAAGAUCCAUGAUUGAAGUCCUGACCUGCCUA